GUGACCAGGGUAGUUGGAAGAAUUGGAUCCUGUCUUGGGGUCUCGCAGUCAUUUUUUUCUAAAGAGUUUGGUCUCGCUUACCACGAUUAUGAGUUGUGAUGUUCUCUUUUGAGCAUGAAGUUGACAUCUAUUUCGUCCACUCACUGUCUUUGAUGAUUGUAUUUUGCUUCUUCAUGAAGCUUAGAGGAAGAGAAUAUGAUCAGAGUGGU